AAAAGAAUAGUGCUGUUCACAUGAUAUUUUACUUGUCCCGGGACAAGAAUUGACCCGAGUGCCUCGCCUCUGUAGACAGGGACACUCGCCUAGCCGGGACAACUUUUCCUCAUGUGAACACUUUGCCCCGGGGCAACUUUGUCCCGGGAUAAUUAAAUUUUUGGUAAAACGAUCAAAAUCGCGGCUAAAAUUACAUUUAGAGCACGUUGGACUCCACAAAACUUGUUAUUUGAUUGAAGAUAUGAUUUAUAGAAAUCUAUAAGUGAUGAUUCUAAUAAUAUUAAAAUAAAAUUGUCGCUAAUAUCAUGUUUGAAACCAAGAAGUGUA